GAUGAAGAACGCAGCGAAAUGCGAUACGUAAUGUGAAUUGCAGAAUUCAGUGAAUCAUCGAGUCUUUGAACGCACAUUGCGCCCCCUGGUAUUCCGGGGGGCAUGCCUGUCCGAGCGUCAUUGCUGCCCUCAAGCCCGGCUUGUGUGUUGGGUCUCGUCCCCCUUCCCGGGGGGACGGGCCCGAAAGGCAGUGGCGGCACCGUGUCCGGUCCUCGAGCGUAUGGGGCUUUGUCACCCGCUCUGUAGGCCCGGCCGGCGCUUGCCGAUCAACCAAAACUUUUUUCCAGGUUGACCUCGGAUCAGGUAGGGAUACCCGCUGAACUUAAGCAUAUCAAUAAGCGGAGGA
rnacentral:misc_RNA from 1 species